rnacentral:tRNA from 1 species
GGAGAGGUGGCAGAGCGGUUGAAUGCGUCGGUUUCGAAAACCGAUAUAGGGGAAACCCUAUCGGGGGUUCGAAUCCCCCCCUCUCCG